AACGAACGCUGGCGGCAGGCCUAACACAUGCAAGUCGAGCGCGCCCUUCGGGGUGAGCGGCGGACGGGUGAGUAACGCGUGGGAACGUGCCCUUCUCUGCGGAAUAGCCUCGGGAAACUGAGAGUAAUACCGCAUACGCCCUUUGGGGGAAAGAUUUAUCGGAGAAGGAUCGGCCCGCGUUGGAUUAGGUAGUUGGUGGGGUAAUGGCCCACCAAGCCGACGAUCCAUAGCUGGUUUGAGAGGAUGAUCAGCCACACUGGGACUGAGACACGGCCCAGACUCCUACGGGAGGCAGCAGUGGGGAAUCUUAGACAAUGGGGGCAACCCUGAUCUAGCCAUGCCGCGUGAGUGAUGAAGGCCUUAGGGUUGUAAAGCUCUUUCAGCUGGGAAGAUAAUGACGGUACCAGCAGAAGAAGCUCCGGCUAACUCCGUG
rnacentral:rRNA from 1 species